AUACUUCCUUGGCAGGGGAGAUACCAUGGUCACUAAGGUGGUUUUCCCAGGGUGAGACUUAUCCAUUACACUCCAGAUAUGCUGACUCUUGCAAUUUUAAAUCCCAAAUGUGGGAAACUCGACUGCAGAAUUUGUAGCAGUGCGGGACUGCAUUUGUGCUGUCCCCCU